UGGGGAAUAUUGGACAAUGGGCGAAAGCCUGAUCCAGCCAUGCCGCGUGUGUGAAGAAGGUCUUCGAAUUGUAAAGCACUUUAAGUUGGGAGGAAGGGCAGUUACCUAAUACGUGAUUGUCUUGACGUUACCGACAGAAUAAGCACCGGCUAACUCUGUGCCAGCAGCCGCGGUAAUACAGAGGGUGCAAGCGUUAAUCGGAAUUACUGGGCGUAAAGCGCGCGUAGGUGGUUUGUUAAGUUGGAUGUGAAAUCCCCGGGCUCAACCUGGGAACUGCAUCCAAAACUGUCAAGCUAGAGUAUGGUAGAGGGCGGUGGAAUUUCCUGUGUAGCGGUGAAAUGCGUAGAUAUAGGAAGGAACACCAGUGGCGAAGGCGACCACCUGGACUGAUACUGACACUGAGGUGCGAAAGCGUGGGGAGCAAAACAGGAUUAGAUACCCUGGUAGUCCACGCCGUAAACGAUGUCAACUAGCCGUUGGGAGCCUUGAGCUCUUAGUGGCGCAGCUAACGCAUUAAGUUGACCGCCUGGGGAGUACGGCCGCAAGGUUAAAAGCUCAAAGG
rnacentral:rRNA from 1 species